rnacentral:rRNA from 1 species
CCUACGGGGGGCAGCAGUGAGGAAUAUUGGUCAAUGGGCGGAAGCCUGAACCAGCCAAGUAGCGUGAGGGAUGAAUGCCCUACGGGUUGUAAACUGCUUUUAUACGGGGAUAAAAUGCUGCAUUUAUGCAGCUUUGCAUGUACCUUAUGAAUAAGGGUCGGCUAACUCCGUGCCAGCAGCCGCGGUAAGACGGAAGGGCCGAGCGUUAUCCGGAUUUAUUGGGCUUAAAGGGAGCGUCGGCGGGGUGUUAAGUUAGUUGUGAAAUUUUGGGGGUCAACCCGAAAAGUGCAGUUGAAACUGGACUCCUUGAGUUCACUACAGGCAGGCGGAAUUCGUGGUGUAGCGGUGAAAUGCAGAGAUAUCACGAAGAACCCCGAUUGCGAAGGCAGCCUGCCGGGCUGCGACUGACGCUGAUGCUCGAAGGUGUGGGUAUCAAACAGGAUUAGAUACCCUGGUAGUC